rnacentral:rRNA from 1 species
UACGGAGGGGGCUAGCGUUGUUCGGAAUUACUGGGCGUAAAGAGCUCGUAGGCGGUUUGUCGCGUCUGCUGUGAAAACUGGAGGCUCAACCUCCAGCCUGCAGUGGGUACGGGCAGACUAGAGUGCGGUAGGGGAGAUUGGAAUUCCUGGUGUAGCGGUGGAAUGCGCAGAUAUCAGGAGGAACACCGAUGGCGAAGGCAGAUCUCUGGGCCGUAACUGACGCUGAGGAGCGAAAGCAUGGGGAGCGAACAGG